UAGGGAAUCUUCCACAAUGGACGGCAAGUCUGAUGGAGCAACGCCGCGUGAGUGAAGAAGGUCUUCGGAUCGUAAAACUCUGUUGUUAGAGAAGAACACGAGUGAGAGUAACUGUUCAUUCGAUGACGGUAUCUAACCAGCAAGUCACGGCUAACUACGUGCCUG
rnacentral:rRNA from 1 species